ACAACAUGAGGAACUGAAUUAAAUGGUUACAGAAGUUUGAGAACUACUGGUUCUAUGGUAUAAUGCUGAAACGUCCUCCCACUGGCAGAUGUGUUUGAACACCUGGCUCCCAGCUAAUGCUGGCUUGUUUUGGGAGCCUGCAGAACUGUUUGGAGAUGGGACCUAAGUGGAAAAGGAGGUCACUAGGACAGGUCGUGGUCGAUUGGUUCCAGUCUACUUCCUGAUGCUACAGACAGAGCUACUUCCACUACCGUUCCUUUUCUACAACAUGGCCCGACCCCUUGAAACCACAAACCAUAAUAAAUCCUUUCUUCCUGC
rnacentral:lncRNA from 1 species